AAACUAGGAUUAGAUACCCUUAUUAUUAAAAAAUUAAAGAUCAUAAUACUAAAAGAGUAAGUAAAAUUUUAUUGAAACUUAAAUAACUUGGCGGUUUUUUAGUUCAUUCAGAGGAAUCUGUUUAUUAAUUGAUAAUCCACGAAUAAAUUUACUUAAUUUAUUAUUUUGUAUAUCGUUGUUUAAAAAAUAUUUUUUAAUAAUUAAUAAUAUUUUAAAUUUUAAAUAAAAAAUUAAAUCAGAUCAAGAUGCAGAUUAUAAUUAAGAAUAUAAUGGAUUACAAUAAAUUUAUUUAUUAUGAAUUUUAAGUAGAAUAAUUUAAUUGAAAGUGGAUUUGAAUGUAAUUUUAUUUAAAUUAAUAAGAUGAUUUAUAAUUAAAAUAUGUACAUAUUGCCCGUCGCUUUCAUAAUAUAAGUUGAAAUAAGUCGUAACAUAGUA
rnacentral:rRNA from 1 species